rnacentral:rRNA from 1 species
AUGGCGUGGGAAAAAGCGAAGUUAGCUGGUCUGGGACAGUCCUUGGCUGAUAGGACGAAGGUUGUACAUGCAGAUUUGCACCAAUGGGACAAAGAUGUCUUAAAAGGCCCGAAGAAGCCGGUGGGUAAAUUGAAAAAGGAACUUGAGAAACUUAGACAUGGGGUUUUUUCUCCCGAUUCCAUUGCCAGGCAGAAGGAAAUUCUUCUUUUGUUGGAGAAUAUUAUGGGACAAGAGGAGGUCUUCUUGCUUCAAAGAGGCAGGACGGAAUGGUUGUUACAUGGCGAUAGAAACAUGAAGUUUUUCCACAAUAUGGCCAUGGCAAGAAAGAAAUGA